UGGGGAAUCUUGCACAAUGGAGGAAACUCUGAUGCAGCGACGCCGCGUGAGCGAUGAAGCCCUUCGGGGUGUAAAGCUCUUUCGACGGGAACGAUAAUGACGGUACCCGGAGAAGAAGCUGCGGCUAACUACGUGCCAGCAGCCGCGGUAAUACGUAGGCAGCAAGCGUUGUUCGGAAUUACUGGGCGUAAAGAGUGUGUAGGCGGUUCUCUAUGUUCGGUGUGAAAUCUCCCGGCUUAACUGGGAGGGUGCGCCGAAAACUGCCGGGCUUGAGUAUGGGAGAGGUGAGUGGAAUUUCCGGUGUAGCGGUGAAAUGCGUAGAUAUCGGAAGGAACACCUGUGGCGAAAGCGGCUCACUGGACCAUAAUUGACGCUGAUGCACGAAAGCUAGGGGAGCAAACAGGAUUAGAUACCCUGGUAGUCCUAGCCCUAAACGAUGAUUGCUUGGUGUGGCAGGUACCCAAUCCUGCCGUGCCGAAGCUAACGCGAUAAGCAAUCCGCCUGGGGAGUACGGUCGCAAGGCUG
rnacentral:rRNA from 1 species